rnacentral:rRNA from 1 species
CAGUCGCCGCGGUAAUACGUAGGGUGCAAGCGUUAAUCGGAAUUACUGGGCGUAAAGGGCGCGUAGGCGGUUUGACAAGUCUGAUGUGAAAUCUCUGGGCUCAACCCAGAGUCUGCAUCGGAAACUGUCGAGCUUGAGUAUGGGAGAGGUGAGUGGAAUUUCCGGUGUAGCGGUGAAAUGCGUAGAUAUCGGAAGGAACACCUGUGGCGAAAGCGGCUCACUGGACCAUUACUGACGCUGAGGCGCGAAAGCUAGGGGAGCAAACAGGAUUAGAUACCCCCGUAGUCCCUGUCUCUUAUAA